rnacentral:rRNA from 1 species
CAGUCGCCACGGUAAUACGUAGGGUGCAAGCGUUAAUCGGAAUUACUGGGCGUAAAGCGUGCGCAGGCGGUUAUAUAAGACAGAUGUGAAAUCCCCGGGCUCAACCUGGGAACUGCAUUUGUGACUGUAUAGCUAGAGUACGGCAGAGGGGGAUGGAAUUCCGCGUGUAGCAGUGAAAUGCGUAGAUAUGCGGAGGAACACCGAUGGCGAAGGCAAUCCCCUGGGCCUGUACUGACGAUCAUGAACGAAAGCGUGGGGAGCAAACAGGAUUAGAUACCCCUGUAGUCCCUGUCUCUUAUAC